UACAUGGGGUGCAAACGUUGCUCGGAAUUAUUGGGCGUAAAGCGCACGUAGGUGGUCUGUUAUGUCAGAUGUGAAAGCCCUCGGCUUAACUGAGGACGUGCACCUGAAACUGGCAGGCUUGAGUACGAAAGAGGGUCGCGGAAUUCCCGGUGGAGAGGUGAAAGUCGGAGAUAGCGGGAGGAACAGCGGUGGCGAAGGCGGCGACCUGGUUCGAUACUGACACUGAGGUGCGAAAGCGUGGGGAGCAAACAGG
rnacentral:rRNA from 1 species